rnacentral:rRNA from 1 species
AUUGAACGCUGGCGGCAGGCUUAACACAUGCAAGUCGAGCGGGCGAGGUUGCUUCGGUAACUGAGCUAGCGGCGGACGGGUGAGUAAUGCUUAGGAAUCUGCCUAUUAGUGGGGGACAACAUUCCGAAAGGAAUGCUAAUACCGCAUACGCCCUACGGGGGAAAGCAGGGGAUCUUCGGACAUUGCGCGAAUAGAUGAGCCUAAGUCAGAUUAGCUAGUCGGUGGGGUAAAGGCCUACCAAGGCGACGAUCUGUAGCGGGUCUGAGAGGAUGAUCCGCCACACUGUGACUGGGAAACGGCCCAGACUCACACGGGAGGCAGCAGUGGGGAAUAUUGGACAAUGGGCGCAAGCCUGAUCCAGCCAUGCCGCGUGUGUGAAGAAGGCCUUUUGGUUGUAAAGCACUUUAAGCGAGGAGGAGGCUACCGAGAUUAAUACUCUUGGAUAGUGGACGUUACUCGCAGAAUAAGCACCGGCUAACUCUGUGCCAGCCGCCGCAGUAACAC